GGAAUCUUGCGCAAUGGGCGAAAGCCUGACGCAGCAACGCCGCGUGCGGGAAGAAGGCUUUAGGGUUGUAAACCGCUUUCAGCAGGGAAGAAAAUGACGGUACCUGCAGAAGAAGGUGCGGCCAACUACGUGCCAGCAGCCGCGGUGACACGUAGGCACCAAGCGUUGUCCGGAUUUAUUGGGCGUAAAGAGCUCGUAGGCGGUUCAGUAAGUCGGGUGUGAAAACUCUGGGCUUAACCCAGAGCCGCCACCCGAUACUGCUGUGACUUGAGUCCGGUAGGGGAGCGGGGAAUUCCUGGUGUAGCGGUGAAAUGCGCAGAUAUCAGGAGGAACACCGGUGGCGAAGGCGCCGCUCUGGGCCGAGAUUGACGCUGAGGAGCGAAAGCAUGGGUAGCAAACAGGAUUAGAUACCCUGGUAGUCCAUGCCGUAAACGUUGGGCACUAGGUGUGGGCAUCAACCAACGAUGUCCGCGCCGUCGCUAACGCAUUAAGUGCCCCGCCUGGGGAGUACGGCCGCAAGACUAAAACUCAAAUGAAUUGACGG
rnacentral:rRNA from 1 species